rnacentral:lncRNA from 1 species
AAUAAUUACAAUAAGUCAAGCUCAUCCAACUAUACAUAUUUCAUUUUAAAUCUUCCAAAACUCGUUUCCCCUUGCGCAUCUUUAUGUUAAGCAAAAUCUCCGAGUUCCUCUCCUCGGUUAUUUUUGCACACGUUUACACCAUAUGGGACAAAUUUAGAAAACUUGAAACUCAUUCCACUUGAUUCACCAUGCAAUAGAUACUCCUUGUCGGGCAAAACUUUAGAAAACUUGAAAAAUCAAUAAUCGCGGGUGCUACAAUGGACAAACUUCCCUUUAUUGUUGGAAUUCCUUUCAAUGUCAGAUUCCCCAUGUUCCUCCUGGCCAUUCCACACAGUCUGAAUCAAUUAACUCGCGUGCUGAGACAAAAAAAAAAUAAAAAAAUCCAUGUCAAUAAUCUAGUGGAUAGACUUCUAUGAGGUCCUAACAUCACAAAAAUGAAGCAUUCCAUUGCUUCAAUAAACUAAACUCAAGCAUUAUAAAUGUACACACAAAAAAUCCAUUCCAGACGAGAAAUUGUAUGAGAUCCUAACAUCACAAAAUUGAAUCAUUCCACAACUUCAACACUUAGCAGUAUCAAUGUACAAUAAAACCCAUUCCACACAACAAUUCGCUAACACCACAUAAAUGAAGCAUUUCACAACUUCAACAAACUAAAUUCAAGCAGUAUAAAUGUACACAUAAAAUCCAUUCCACACAAGAAUUCGUAUGAGGUCCUAACACCACAUAAAUGAAGCAUUCCACAACUUCAAUAAGCUAAACUCAAGCAGUAUAAAUGUACACACAAAACCCAUUCCACAACUUCAACAAGAUAAACUCAAGCAGUAUAAGUUGUCCAAACCCACUUUGUUUGAAAUGGAGUUUACCAAGUAUACUCACUGAGUCAUUGAUUUUUCAAAAUAGCAGGUAAAGCCCAAAGCUUUUCAGAGAUAAUACUAGUUGCAGUAUCCUUAUUAUAAUGUGUCACCAGUGAUGGGCGUGGGUGAUUCACAGUUGGAAACGGGGCAAGGUAAGGAAUUAGCGCCCUCAGUGUCUUUCACACUCGAAACGGAAAGUGAAUGGCUACUAACCUGGAGAGAGCUAUAUCUCAGGCGACCGUCUUUUCUUCGUCGGAGCUAUAUGUGCCAGUGAGAUUUCUUUAGUUGGACCUUGGAGGUGCAAAUCGGGAGAGAGGAGUGCAAGAUGAAGGGGAGAUAGUUUGACUUCGAGC